rnacentral:rRNA from 1 species
GAUGAACGCUGGCGGCGUGCCUAAUACAUGCAAGUCGAGCGAACGGACGAGAAGCUUGCUUCUCUGAUGUUAGCGCCGGACGGGUGAGUAACACGUUGACAACCGCCCUAUAAGACUGGCAUAACUUCGGGAAACCGGAGCUAAUACCGGAUGAUAUUUUGCACAGCAUGGUUCAAAAGUGAAAGACGGUCUUGCUGCCACUUAUAGAUGGAUCCGCGCUGCAUUAGCUAGUUGGUAAGGUAACGGCUUACCAAGGCAACGAUGCAUAGCCGACCUGGGAGGGUGAUCGGCCACACUGGACCCGAGACACGGGCGAGAGUCCUACACAAAGCAGCAGAAGGCAAUCUCCUGAGCAGGGCGAAAGCCUGACGGAGCAACGCCGCGAAGGUGAUAGAGGUCUUCGGAGCGUAAAACUCUGUAAUUAGGGAAGAACAGAUGUGUAAGUAACUGUGCACAUCUUGACGUUACCUAAUCAGAGAGCCACGGCUAACUACGUG